rnacentral:RNase_P_RNA from 1 species
CUUUCAAGCUGGAUGAUCGCUCUGCACAAUGUGCGGAGAGGAAAGUCCGAACACUCACCUGCAUUCGUGCAGGAAGGGCAGCGGGUAACCCCCGUCCGUCGCAAGGCGAGAGGUGCGAACAGAAACGGUUGUUCCAGAAAUGGAGCAUCCACCCGAAAGGGUGACAUCUGAGGGAAACUUUGGAGGUGAAACGGCUAAAUCCUUGCCUGGGUGCAAGAGCAAACCAAGAGAUCUUCUUUAUAUGAAGGACUCUUGUGAAAAGGUAGCUCGCAUGAUCCUGCCAGCAAUGGCAGGGCUAGAGAGAUGAUCGUCUAAAACAGAAUUCGGCUUACGGGCUCGAAAGAACG